GUGCGGCGUGCAUCGCCUCGCCGCCGUCUCCAAAACAUGGCGCUAAUGGCCAGGACAGGCCGCGCCGCGCCGCGCCGGGGACGGAGGUUGGAACAUAAGUUUACCUCUAACUCUUGUCUGAGUCAUGAAGAAUGGAGAAACAGAAGAGGUUUUAUAAGCAGACGGUACCUACUCUUACUACUGGACUUUAUGGAGGAAACUGAAAUAAUACAACAAACUACAAAACUUUCAGUAACUUACAAAUGA
rnacentral:lncRNA from 1 species